AAAAAAGGCACAGCACACCAACAUCAAAACCUCAUCCCAACUGUGAAGUAUGGUGGUGGGGGCAUCAUGGUUUGGGGCUGCUUUGCUGUGCCAGGGCCUGGACGGAUUGCUAUCAUCGAAGGAAAAAUUAAUUCCCAAGUUUAUCAAGACACUUUGCAGGAGAACUUAAGGCCAUCUGUCUACCAGCUGAAGCUCAACAGAAGAUGGGUGUUGCAACAGGACAAUGACCCAAAGCAUAGAAGUAAAUCAACAACAGAAUGGCUUAAACAGAAGAAAAUACGCCUUCUGAAGUGGGCCAGUCAGAGUCCUGACCUC